UCUUGUAGCCAUAUGUUGUGCACGGCUGAGAUGCAUCACUAUAUUCAAUGUCCAUAUUUCUUUCUCUUCUUUCCUGUAUUUCUGUUGUUGCCUUACAAACCGCAUUGCAUGCUCUACUUACAAGCCACACUGUAUCAACUGUCUCGGCCAUGCACAACAGACGGCUACACUGCUGCUAGCAGUGUGGCUUCAGUUGCCAGUGACUGCAAUUGUGUGUGUAUGUGUGGGCGUUUGUGUGUGUGUGUGUGUGUGUGUGUGUGUGUGUGUGUGUGUGCCAUCUAUUUCUGACAAAGGCCUUGCUGAUCAAAAGCUUAUUUGUGACAGUCUUUUUGUUGUGCCUAUCUGUGACUCAGCAUUUCCGCUACAUGAUGAGUCCUAAUUCAGUCUGGAAUUCAGACACAGCAAUUCACCACCUUGUGUCACAGUGGGACAAGUGUCUCAACAGCCAGGGUGAAUACUUCUAACAUACAGUCACUGGGAACGAUGUGUCCUCCAGAGGCCUACAGUACACCGGUGCUAGAAGAGGACAAUUUCUUUCGCAUAUUCUACGUAGAAUCAUAUUAGUACGAAUCCAGUGAUCUUUCCUCUGGAAAACGGCGGACUGAGUGAGUGAUACAGAGGUAAUGGCACUGGACUUGCAUUCGAGAGGAGAGGAUUCAAACACCUACCCAGAGACAUAUCUGCAGUGCUGGUACACACAGAAAGCCCUGCAGCACAAUACUGUAGCACACUGAUAGAUGAGCCAAAACAAAAUGGUGAUGUUCACUGAAGAUGUGGAGUACUGUGUGGCAAUUUUUGGGAGCAGCAGAAAUGUUAAAGCUGUGUCAGGCCAAUCCAGCUCAGUAUAGCACUGCAUCUUCUUUUGUACCUAACACUUACUGCUGGCUAUGUUUAUACAAAACACAGUCAAUAACGUGAAACACUGUAGCUGUCUUAUACCAACAUGUACAUUUCAGUGUUUUACUGAGGGAUUCAGCAUUAUAAAUCAAGACACUGCAUAUUUCUGCGACAUUAACACCUAAAAAUGUUUAUGUAGAAUGAAACCAGCCAUGGUUUAACAAAUGAAUGAAAAAAUGACAGAUGUUAUAACUUCCAGUUGAACAAAUAUAUUUCACGGAAGACGCAAUACAUGAAAGUCACAGAUCAAGUAAACAGAGUAAGACGUGUGUGCACUUUAACAGUCAAAUCACAACUGAGUCUGAGUCUAGUGGCUGCUGGCUGGCUGGCUGCUUAGGUGGCGCUGCUGCUGCAUGGCUGGCAGACAAGUCUGCAUGUAGAGGACGCGCGUAACUGCGUGGCGGCACUUUGAAAGAUCGGCGAGUCACAACAACAGCCUUGGUGAAUUUGUCAACAUUCAUAUUAAUCAGCUGAAGAAGCAAAACAUGAUCAAGAUUAAAAUUAUUAUGUCUUGCCGAGAUCUUAUUCUGAAGCAUCUCCUUCAACAGUCACCUCCUGUUAGUUUUGAAAUGCUAUCUGAAAGUCUAUCUUUGUUAGGCUGUUUAAUACUCUCUGUGAUUCUGCUUGAAUCUCCUCCACUAUAUCGAAUCUUCACUCUGUCAUCUUGACUUUCAUCUUGGGGAAGAUAAAGAAGUUGCACAUAGCUAAGUCUGCUCAGUGCAACAGGUCGAGGACAACUCUCAUCUUGAUUUUCAUCAAAAAUUCCGGAUAAUGCAGCCCAUAUGGAGACAUGCAAGUACCCAGUUGUUCCCAAACAUCCUUUGUGUAUGUUUUUUCCUCUAUAUAGGCAUGCUGCUCUUUCAGGUCAGCCAUUGCAGAAUCAAAAAUUCAUGGACACACAACAGAAGAUGCUCACGAACAACAAACCAACCCACUCAGAUCGCAGCCACUUACCGCACUGACUCAAGAAGAAUGUAUGGGGAGACACCUAGCGACAUUUCUGUGUACUCAUAACCAUUUGUACAAAAACAUAUUUUGUUGAUUGUGUUCUACAGCUUUGAUAAACUUAAGGAAAGAUAUGAAAUAAUGGAAAGUCAAGGUUGGAAUAUCAACAAUGCUAUGAAAAGGAUAGAUUGCUAAGCACCCUAAAGAUGAGACACACUGAGAUGCAGGCAGGCAUGAUCAUGAAAAGGCUUCAGAAAAGAAAAAAAGAGAAAAAUACACGAACUUUCACACAAGCAAGUAUACCGCACAUGCGCGCGGGUGC